GAUGAACGCUGGCGGCGUGCCUAAUACAUGCAAGUCGAGCGAACAGACGAGGAGCUUGCUCCUUUGACGUUAGUGGCGGACGGGUGAGUAACACGUGGAUAACCUACCUAUAAGACUGGGAUAACUUCGGGAAACCGGAGCUAAUACCGGAUAACAUGUUGAACCGCAUGGUUCAACAGUGAAAGACGGUCUUGCUGUCACUUAUAGAUGGAUCCGCGCCGCAUUAGCUAGUUGGUAAGGUAACGGCUUACCAAGGCAAUGAUGCGUAGCCGACCUGAGAGGGUGAUCGGCCACACUGGAACUGAGACACGGUCCAGACUCCUACGGGGGGCAGCAGUAGGGAAUCUUCCGCAAUGGGCGAAAGCCUGACGGAGCAACGCCGCGUGAGUGAAGAAGGUCUUCGGAUCGUAAAACUCUGUUAUUAGGGAAGAACAAAUGUGUAAGUAACUAUGCACGUCUUGACGGUACCUAAUCAGAAAGCCACGGCUAACUACGUGCCAGCAGCCGCGGUAAUACGUAGGUGGCAAGCGUUAUCCGGAAUUAUUGGGCGUAAAGCGCGCGUAGGCGGUUUUUUAAGUCUGAUGUGAAAGCCCACGGCUCAACCGUGGAGGGUCAUUGGAAACUGGAAAACUUGAGUGCAGAAGAGGAAAGUGGAAUUCCAUGUGUAGCGGUGAAAUGCGCAGAGAUAUGGAGGAACACCAGUGGCGAAGGCGACUUUCUGGUCUGUAACUGACGCUGAUGUGCGAAAGCGUGGGGAUCAAACAGGAUUAGAUACCCUGGUAGUCCACGCCGUAAACGAUGAGUGCUAAGUGUUAGGGGGUUUCCGCCCCUUAGUGCUGCAGCUAACGCAUUAAGCACUCCGCCUGGGGAGUACGACCGCAAGGUUGAAACUCAAAGGAAUUGACGGGGACCCGCACAAGCGGUGGCGCAUGUGGUUUAAUUCGAAGCAACGCGAAGAACCUUACCAAAUCUUGACAUCCUCUGACCCCUCUAGAGAUAGAGUUUUCCCCUUCGGGGGACAGAGUGACAGGUGGUGCAUGGUUGUCGUCAGCUCGUGUCGUGAGAUGUUGGGUUAAGUCCCGCAACGAGCGCAACCCUUAAGCUUAGUUGCCAUCAUUAAGUUGGGCACUCUAAGUUGACUGCCGGUGACAAACCGGAGGAAGGUGGGGAUGACGUCAAAUCAUCAUGCCCCUUAUGAUUUGGGCUACACACGUGCUACAAUGGACAAUACAAAGGGUAGCGAAACCGCGAGGUCAAGCAAAUCCCAUAAAGUUGUUCUCAGUUCGGAUUGUAGUCUGCAACUCGACUACAUGAAGCUGGAAUCGCUAGUAAUCGUAGAUCAGCAUGUUACGGUGAAUACGUUCCCGGGUCUUGUACACACCGCCCGUCACACCACGAGAGUUUGUAACACCCGAAGCCGGUGGAGUAACCUUUUGGAGCUAGCCGUCGAAGGUGGGACAAAUGAUUGGGGUGAAGUCGUAACAAGGUGGCCGUAUCGGAAGG
rnacentral:rRNA from 1 species